CCUAAGCAAGAGCAAGACAGCUUCCAUGUUGUGAGGACACUCAGGCAGCCCAUAGAAAGGCACAUAAGGAAAAGUAUCUCUUCACCCAAGAGCCAACAAAUAAGGAGGCUGUUGUUUCAAGGGAUGAUCCUACAUGGCUGAAGCUCAGGCAGAACAGGCAAAUACAUGUUGGAUCAUCCUGACCCAUCUUGGCCCAACACAGACUAUUUGAAGUGUGUAAGUUUGAGAAAUCUCCUCUUGAUGUCUUCUUAGAUCUAAAUAUCUCAUCCUUGUGUUUAGCAACGUGCCACAAUUAGCAAACAUGCAUAGGAGUCUGACAGACUUGAGCUUGAAUUCUGUUCCAUCGUCUCCUGGCUAUUUGCCUGGGCACAUUAGAUGACCUCACCAGGUCUCUACUUCUUCUUCUGUAACACGUUGGUGUCCAAAAGCAUCGGCUGCGUUCUCCAAGAAUGACCUGGUGGAGCCUCCCCCGGAGCCUCCCAGCCUUCAGUUAUUGACUCCAAGGCAAAAAGCAGAGGCUGGCGCGCUUCCACGCAACCUCCUUCACACUCACUGACAGCUGAACAAGCUCCACACUUCUCUCUCCAAAUGACUGGCAACACCAGCAGAAAUUUGGAUCAGUAGGCAGACAAAGAAAAACAAUUUAAUUUCUCUCCGACUGGCUGCUGCUUUCCAAAUGUGACAGAUUUUCUAACCAAAUGUUCGACACAUGGUAGACACUGAGAAAUGCAAGUGAAGUGACCUUGGUAUCACUCUCACCCUUCUGAGGAAAAGAGAAAAGGAAGAUUUGUAAGAAGAGAGGAGACAACAUUCCAAUUGUGGCACAUAAUUCAGAGCAUAAAUGUGGUAAUCAUAAUGUAGAGAUUUCUCCCAAAUUCAAUAAAAGUUGAUUGCAGUA